rnacentral:rRNA from 1 species
GACGAACGCUGGCGGCGUGCUUAACACAUGCAAGUCGAACGGAAAGGCCCUGCUUUUGUGGGGUGCUCGAGUGGCGAACGGGUGAGUAACACGUGAGUAACCUGCCCUUGACUUUGGGAUAACUUCAGGAAACUGGGGCUAAUACCGGAUAGGAGCUCCUGCUGCAUGGUGGGGGUUGGAAAGUUUCGGCGGUUGGGGAUGGACUCGCGGCUUAUCAACUUGUUGGUGGGGUAGUGGCGUACCAAGGCUUUGACGGGUAGCCGGCCUGAGAGGGUGACCGGCCACAUUGGGACUGAGAUACGGCCCAGCCUCCUACGGGAGGCAGCGGUGGGGAAUAUUGCACAAUGGGCGGAAGCCUGAUGCAGCAACGCCGCGUGCGGGAUGACGGCCUUCGGGUUGUAAACCGCUUUCGCCUGUGACGAAGCGUGAGUGACGGUAAUGGGUAAAGAAGCACCGGCUAACUACGUG